AUUCUUCACAUUUAUAGUCCACUUUUAAAAGUUCAGCAGACAGGUGCUCUGCUUUGGAGUGUGACGAUGUCGUCGGUGAUGUGGAGAGUGAAGUUUCCGUUUCACCCACAGCGUGCUUUAGGGCAGUCAGAGUGAAAGUAGCAAUUCCUCCUUAAGGUCAGAGAUUGCAGCAUCUGAGGGCCUCUUCAAAAGAAGACAUAGUUGAUGAAGGCGUUCUGGAGCAGGACCAGAAAGACCACGACCAAGCAGCCUUGAGAUCUUAGGAGGCGUCUCCCUCAGGUCCCUCUCUAUCUCCCUACACAUCCACCAACCACUGGAACACAUCUCCAAAGUUCUGCUGGGCCAGCUCAGCUUCCCCUCAGAAGAAGUUCCACCAGAUGAAGGAGCCUUUUGAGAGGCAGCUGGCAUCGUGAUUGGACUGUACUUUGGUCUGUUCCAAUCCAGCUUCAGCUCCAGAGACGGCAGGCGGGACGAGUCAACGGAGGCCGGGUGGACGAAGGCAUACAGCUGAGUACAAUCCAGAAAACAACAGAGGAGGAGUGCAGGGCCAGAACAAACAGAGUAGCAUUGUAUGUCUCUUAGAAAACAUCAUAGUAUAGCCUUUGGUAUGAAAAAACGCCAUCAUAUACAUCGUAUAUUGUACAAAUAACAAGUCAAAGGAAAGAGACAUACAUUGUAGAAUUGUAGUAAUUGUGGGACUGACUGAUUUACUGAUUAUCAGUAUUUUAUUUUUUACUGAUUUACGGUAAUAAAUACAUUUAAAAAUGGUGCUACUUUGGCUCUGAACCUUUAUCUACCUGUGGUCCCUCUGUCUUCUG
ensembl:lncRNA